UACGUAGGGUGCGAGCGUUGUCCGGAUUUAUUGGGCGUAAAGAGCUCGUAGGCGGCUUGUCGCGUCGGAUGUGAAAGCCCGGGGCUUAACUCCGGGUCUGCAUUCGAUACGGGCAGGCUAGAGUUCGGUAGGGGAGACUGGAAUUCCUGGUGUAGCGGUGAAAUGCGCAGAUAUCAGGAGGAACACCGAUGGCGAAGGCAGGUCUCUGGGCCGAUACUGACGCUGAGGAGCGAAAGCGUGGGGAGCGAACAGG
rnacentral:rRNA from 1 species